CCAUCGGUGGUUAAGUGGUAGAAUGCUCGCCUGCCACGCGGGUGGCCCGGGUUCGAUUCCCGGCCGAUGCA
rnacentral:tRNA from 1 species